GACGAACCGUGCGAACGUUGUUCGGAAUCACUGGGCAUAAAGGGCGCGUAGGCGGGCUGACAAGUCUGGGGUGAAAUCCCGCGGCUCAACCGUGGAACUGCCUUAGAUACUGUCGGCCUCGAGGAAGGUAGGGGCAUGCGGAACUGUAGGUGGAGCGGUGAAAUGCGUUGAUAUCUACAGGAACUCCGGUGGCGAAAGCGGCGUGCUGGACCUUUUCUGACGCUGAGGCGCGAAAGCUAGGGGAGCAAACGGG
rnacentral:rRNA from 1 species